GGGGCGGAGCCUGAAGGCUGGUCUAUUCUAAAGGCUCUUCAGGGAUUUUUUAAUAUGUAGCUAGGAUUGAAAAUAGCUUAUGUGGACAUACAGUUUUUAUGUUUUAACAAACAUGUUUAAGGCAAACAAACUACUGGGACGACCUUCGGAUGCAUCAGAACUUUUUCAGAGGCGUUUGGGAGUCCGGCGAUUUCUACCUCUAAAGAGUGCUAGUGAGUGAGCGAUUUUGAUUGAGGGCUCACUUUGUUGCCUUAGUGCUCUCUCCUAGCCAGAAGCCUUUCUGUUUUGGAAUCGUGGAGCACAUCUUUCGGGACCUGCAAAAAGCUCUCAGUAGAAGGGAAGAGCAUCAGGUGGUGAAGCUGAACCAGGGGAGUCUAAAAUCCAUGUGGCCUCUCAGGCACCCUUGAGUCUAGAGUGAGCUUCCUGAUCUCACAUUUGAGAGUGAUUCUGGGGUGCAAAAAUCUGGAAGUCAAGAUGUCAAAUGAAGGAGGAUGUAAAGGAAGAUGCCAAAAUAGUGCCCAUCAUGUGGAGGGUCUCUUCAUCUUCCUGAUAUAUGGGGUGUACAACACAGAGGACUGCUGCACCUGGAUUACGCUCGGUUUCCUCUUCCAAUAGCCUUCAGGAAGGUUGGCAGUAAGACAAUUUUUUUUUUUUCCCCCCAACGGUACCACUAAUUGCGGUUUCAAAGCAGGCUCCUCCAAUAAUUGCAAAGGAUAUGCGCCCAUUAUUAGUGCUUCCAAAUUCCAAGAGAUAACAUAAGCAACCUGUUUUAAUAAAUGUUGAGCAUUUGCAGUUGAAUGCUUUUUGAUAGAAUCCAAAGUGCUCUAAAUGAUCCACUUCUGGAUUUGAAUUUUGUUUCAAGAACUGGAUUGCAAAACCUAGAGUGAAGAAAGCCCCAACACUGAGCCCUCAGUUUCCCCCACUUUCUCUUUCCAGCCCCUUUCUCUGCAUCUCCCACGCCACGCUGUAGUACGGCCCCCGGUAACUUCCCGCCCCUUUGGUUCCACCCCAGAAGCCCUCAACCACUUUCAUCUCCUUCAGUGCAGCCCACCAAUCACGCCUGUGCUCCUCGGAAGCCCCUUUUUAGUAGGGCUCCAAAUCCCCGCCCCUCCUGCCCAAGCCCCCCCGUCUCCGCUCAACCGCCCCAGUGAUU
rnacentral:lncRNA from 1 species